CAGCGAAGGCAAGAUAGCAGCAGAGCGAUAUCCAUCGUCUCAUUUGUUAAUAAUUCGUUUCGCUGUUUUCGUGGUCGUCAACUAUGCUGCGUCGCGUAUCGAGUGGAAAAUGUUCAAUUUCCAAUUAAUUUAUAAACAACAAGUAAAAAAUUAGUAAUGCAGAAAAAUCAUUUUACUAGUGUGUUAGUGAAAAAGUGUUGUACAAAUUGCUAAACUAUCACUAACCGCAUAAUUGUGCAAACUUCAAAUGACAAUAUUUGUAAUGGUUUAGUGAAAUACCUUUAAUUGACCUAAAAAAUCAUAAAGUACAAUAAAAUAAAUUAAAGUUAUUUAAUAAUACGUCUAGUUCAACUUAAUGAUAUUACAAACUAAAACCUACCAAAUAAAAAUAAAUAAAUUGUACUAAGUGGUCAGACAGCUCCUCGGCUUUGGAGCUUUUAAGACACCUACGUGAUUAUACUCAAAAGCAACAAUAUGGCACAUGCCCACCAUAAUGCUGCUAAUCUGCUUAGUUCAGAUAUAUCACGACGUAAUCCACAGGACGAAUACGAACUCAUACAAAAGAUCGGUUCUGGCACAUACGGUGAUGUUUAUAAGGCAAAGCGCAUACAGAGCAAUGAAUUGGCCGCAAUCAAAGUCAUCAAACUCGAGCCCACCGACGACAUACAAAUCAUCCAGCAGGAGAUUAUUAUGAUGCGCGAUUGUCGGCACAAAAACAUCAUCACAUAUUAUGGUUCGUACCUGCGGCGCGACAAGUUGUGGAUCUGCAUGGAGUACUGCGGUGGCGGUAGCCUGCAGGACAUCUACCAGGUGACGGGACCGCUAACCGAACAACAAAUCGCCUACAUGUGCCGUGAAACAUUGAAAGGACUCGAGUACCUGCAUACGAUGGGCAAGAUGCAUCGUGACAUCAAGGGCGCCAAUAUACUGCUGACCGAACAGGGCGACGUCAAGUUGGCCGAUUUCGGUGUGUCCGCGCAGAUUACCGCCACGAUCAAUAAGCGGAAGAGCUUUAUCGGUACACCGUAUUGGAUGGCGCCGGAGGUGGCCGCUGUGGAGCGUAAAGGCGGCUACAAUCAAUUAUGUGAUAUAUGGGCGGUUGGCAUAACGGCAAUUGAACUUGCCGAACUUCAGCCGCCAAUGUUCGAUUUGCAUCCGAUGCGUGCGUUGUUCCUAAUGUCGAAAAGUGGUUUCAAACCGCCCACAUUGAGCAACAAGGAGAAGUGGAGCACCACAUUUCACAAUUUCGUGAAGACGGCGCUGACGAAGAAUCCCAAAAAGCGUCCGACCGCCGAAUGCYURCUGAAGCAUCCAUUCGUGCAGGGCGACAUGUCGGUGCGUGUGGCCAAGGAGUUGCUGCAAAAGUUCUUGAGUCCCAAUCAGCAGUUCUACUACUAUUUGGACGGGGAAGAAGAGACUGUCGCCAGCGUACCRCAACGAAUAGCGAGCAAAAUGACAUCAAGGCCAAAUGGUAUUUCACCGCAAAAUCACACUUUGAAAACAGGCAUGACAACGAAUUCGCAAUGGAAUGAUCGCUCAUCUAGUCCCGAAACUUUGCCCAGCGACAUUCCUUUAGCAGCUGCAGUGCGGCGACAAAAGCUCACCGGUACUUUGAUUAUGAACAUGUCCUUAAGGAGCCUCUUACAGUAUAUUGAUGAGGAGCUAAAGCUAAGAGCCACCCUGCCGUUAACCGAUACCAAAGAUCUGCUUAGCACCGAAUGCCACUGCGCGCACAAUGGCGGCAACGGCAACGGUAAUGGCAACGGCAAUAUCAAUGGUAAUGGCAAUGGCAAUGAAAACGGUGGCGUCAGCGGCGCCAACGAUGCCGUAGCGCCAACCGUGCCCGACGACAUCAGCAGCUCCAGCGCAACUUCCGCGGCGCCAUCGACAGCUGCYACUGUGAAUGGUGGCGACGGUGUCAGCUCGAUUACUWGCGCKAGCGGCUUGGGCCAUUCGAUGUCUGCCUAUUUAGGACUGAGUUUCGGCUUCUCCAACAUGCGCACAACGUCGGUUGAUGCUGUGGUCAAUAACGCCAACCAUGACAGCGAUGCGCGGCACCACCACCAACAGCAGGCACAUUAUCACCAUCAUCAUCAUUACAUGCACUACACCAACAACAGUAACCGUAAUAGCAACAGCAAUGGCGGCGCCAGCGGCAGCGGCAGCGGCAGCAAUAUAAAUUCGCGCUCAACUAGCGCCACCGGCCUGUCGGCAUCCACGUCCAGCAACUCCUAUGGAACCGCAGUUGGGGCGCCGRCAAAGUUAAAUGGUCAAUCGCAGUACACGUCGUUGUCCUCGUCCUUGUACAAUCCAUUGGACAAUUUGAGUUGCGAAAGCGGCGGCGGCAUCGGCGGUGGUGUUGGAAGCGGUGGCUUUGGCAUAGGCUUAGGCGGGAGUGUUAGUGGUACUAAUGGUGGCGGGGGAAGUGGUGGUGUUGGUAUGUUAGGAAUUGAUAGGAGUAACGGAGGUGGUAGUGUUGGUAGUGCUGGUGGUUUUGGUGGUGUUAGUGGUGGUGUCGGCGGUGUUGGCGCGUCCCCAUCGCYAUCGUCAUCUUCGUCCGUGUUUGCUCGUGAUGUGCUUAUGCAUUCCUCUGCUUCCACGUCACAUUUAUUCACUAAUUUGCUGCGUAAUAAUGGCACCAAUUAUUUUAAUAGCAACACUUCGGUGACCGAUUCGCCAACAACAACUAGUGCAAUCGUAUCAACGUCGUCCGUAUCGGCCAUCCCUGCCGGCGCGGCGGCUCCGUUGUCGGGAGAGUGUACGCCCACAUCGGGGCAAGCGAUCGGCGGCAGCAACAACAGCAAUUGUGAUUAUAGGCAUGAGAGUAAUCAGAAUGGUCUGGAGGACUCACCACGCCGCCACAGUUCAAUGGAUCAGCUGAUUGGCCUGCUCAAUGACAUGGGCAAGUCGUCGAGAACACGCAGUCUCAGCGAUGGCGGCACACAAGACGACGAAGUGGAGAAAGAAGUGCAACCGGAUCUGCUCAAUAAUACGCCUCCCGUGCCUCCGAAACGCUCACAUCGUCGCCGCCACACCCCGCCACGCCCCAUCUCCAAUGGCCUACCGCCCACGCCCAAGGUGCAUAUGGGCGCAUGCUUUUCGAAAAUCUUCAAUGGCUGUCCCCUACGCAUACACUGCACAGCCUCAUGGAUCCAUCCCGAAACGCGCGACCAGCAUCUACUCAUCGGCGCCGACGAGGGCAUCUUCAACCUAAACAUGAACGAGCUGCACGAUGCCGUCAUCGAUCAGCUAUUUCCGCGUCGCACCACCUGGCUGUAUGUGAUUAAGGACGUACUCAUGAGUCUAUCAGGCAAAUCUUGUCAAUUGUAUCGACACGACCUGAUUGCGUUACAUUCCAAGCAGACGCACCGUUUCUCGCUGCACAUGAACAAAAUACCGGAAAGACUGGUCCCGCGCAAAUUCGCACUCACCACAAAGGUGCCCGACACCAAGGGCUGCACCCAAUGCUGUGUAACAAGGAAUCCCUAUAACGGCUACAAGUAYUUGUGCGGUGCCACGCCCAGUGGCAUAUUCCUCAUGCAAUGGUACGAUCCGCUGAAYAAAUUCAUGCUGCUUAARCAAUGCGAGUGGCCGGCAUCGAGYAUACUGGGCGGUGGACAUGGCUGUGUGCUAAACGGUCACACACCCGUCUUCGAGAUGAUCAUUACGCCGGAGCUGGAAUAUCCGAUUGUCUGCACGGGUGUGCGAAAGGCACUCAACGGCUGCCUGAAGCUCGAGCUGAUCAAUAUGAAUAGCGCCAGCUGGUUCCAUUCAGACGAUCUGGACUUCGAUGCAACGGCCACAAUGGUACCACGAAGAGAUCUGUUGAAAGUGGUGAAGGUGCAUCAGGUCGAAAAGGAUGCGAUACUGGUCUGCUAUGGCAACAUCAUACAAGUCGUCACGCUACAGGGUAAUCCAAAGCAACACAAGAAAUUGGUCUCGCAACUCAAUUUCGAUUUCAAUGUGGAUAGCAUAGUUUGUCUACCCGAUAGCGUAUUAGCAUUUCACAAGCACGGCAUGCAGGGUAAGUCGUUGCGCAACGGCGAAAUAACGCAAGAAAUCAAGGACAUGAGUCGUACAUAUCGACUGCUCGGCUGUGAUAAAGUCGUCGCUUUGGAGAGUCAAUUGCUGCGCACCGGUUCGCUGGGCAGCGAGGAGGGACAUGAUCUUUACAUUCUAGCCGGCCAUGAGGCCAGCUAUUAAUUAACUAUAUAAUUACAAAAAUUAUAGUGGUAAAAUGCAAUUAACUAUGUAAAGCAAGUGAAACAAAAUAUUCUGUUUACUACAAAAACAAAAACAAAAAACAAAAAAACGAAGAAAAAUGCAAAGGAAAAACUGAACAAACUCACUUACGUAAGCAUACAUAAGUUAAAAAAAAAAUAAAAUGAGCAUAUGAAAUUAAGUGAAAUGAAUGUCGGAAAAAUGAAAGCAAAAAAAAAUCUUACUAAACUUUUGGUAUAAAAUCAUAUUARUUUUAAGCAUUUUGCAAGCGUCCGUUUUUUCUGUUUUUGUUAUGUAAAUUUGCACACAAACAAAAAGUGAGUGUGAAAGCGCGACAAACAAUUUCGAGUUUUUCGGAAACUAGCGAAUGUUAUGCAGCGCCAAUGCCAAAGCGUUUUGAGAUUAAAUGCAGAUUAACUGCAUUUUUUAUAGUGUGUACAGAUCAUGCAGCGCCAAGUCAAAAUAGAGCCAUUAAAAACAAAGUUGUAUAUAAGUCGCAUUUCAAUAAUUGUUUUGUGAAUGAUUGCGCAACACUUGCGCAUGAAAUAUUGAAAAUAUUAUUUGUAUAUAUGUACAAGCUAUUAUCGCUUAUGUAAUUUCGUUAUUUUUAAAUUGCAAAAUGAUGUUAAGUUAGUGGCUGCAAUACAUGUAAAUUUUCUUACAUUUUACUAGACCUAAACAUGUUUGCAUAUAUGAAACUACUUUAAGUGAAUAUUUUAUAGAUUUUCACGGUAUUUGCAUACAAGGUAUUAGAAUCGAAAUGGCAGAGCGCUGAAUAACAGCAAAGUGAUUGAUUGAUUGUUAUGAAAUACAUGCUUGAAAGUUUGAAACAUAAAACACUGCGAAAAAUUAGGUUAAUGAAGUAAAUUAUAAAGCAUCUGACAUUGCUUGCAAUUUUUAGUAUAAAAAUAAAAUAAAAUAAAUAAAUAUAAAAAACAACUAAGAACUAUAUUUACGAAAACAGCACAUAAACAAUUUGAAAUCAACACAACCAAAAGGACCACUAAAUGCAAUUGCAAUAAAGAGUAUUUAAGCAAGGGCUGUGCGAGCAGUCGUACGAAACGAGUUUUAGAUCCACGGUAAAUUUAGCUUUCACCUUACGCUCCUCCAAUUGGUUUGAAACUUUGCAAUGUUUGCAACAAAUAUGCGCACAGCCCCACUUCUAAGAGCACGCUAGUUAAUAAAAAAUGGAAAAUUGAAAAUAACUCAUUUAAACCAUAAGUGGAUAUACAUAUAUAAAAUCUGGUAUACACACACACACACACACACAGCUCUGUGGACACACAACCCAAAACCGUGCAAAAAACCAACAACGCCACUGCAAAUCAAAGUCAAUGAGAAAAUGUAGAAAUGAAUAUGCAGCAAGGCGAAUUCCUAAACUUUUAAGUUUUUGUGAAGUUUUGUUAAUUAAAAUUKAAUGAAUAAUAAUUUAAUUAAUGUUCUUCUUGAUUAUGUUCAACUUCCGCCAUUUAGUUGCUUAGCGGAAAAAAUGACUAAACAUCCCAAACUUCCAUUCGUACAAAAACCAAAAAAAUUUAUUCAAACAUCGCAAACUCCACAAAAAAUGUAUUGCGAUCGGCUUUACGAAAUGAAAAUGCAUUAAAACGGCAUUUAGUGAAACAAUAUGAAGAAUUCAGACAUACAAACUGUGUAAUAACGAAAGAAGUCAACAAAAACUCACAAAUUAUUAAUAAA